UUCGCCCUUCUGGAGUUUGGCAGAGGGGGGUAGAAUUCCACGUGUAGCAGUGAAAUGCGUAGAGAUGUGGAGGAAUACCGAUGGCGAAGGCAGCCCCCUGGGCUAUUUCUGACACUCAUGCACGAAAGCGUGGGGAGCAAACAGGAUUAGAUACCCUGGUAGUCCACGCCCUAAACGAUGUCAACUAGAUGUUGGAAGGGUUAAACCUUUUAGUGCCGUAGCUAAC
rnacentral:rRNA from 1 species